rnacentral:rRNA from 1 species
UGCGAGUCGAAUGUAGCAAUACAUGGCGUACUGCUCAGUAACACGUGGAUAACCUACCCUUGAGAUGGGGAUAAACCCGGGAAACUGGGUAUAAUACCCAAUAGAUCUCGACUGCUGGAAUGCAUCGAGCUCCAAAGCUCCGGCGCUCAAGGAUGGAUCUGCGGCCUAUCAGGUAGUAGUGGGUGUAGUGUACCUACUAGCCUACGACGGGUACGGGUUGUGAGAGCAAGAGCCCGGAGAUGGAUUCUGAGACACGAAUCCAGGCCCUACGGGGUGCAGCAGGCGCGAAAACUUUACAAUGCUGAAAACAGCGAUAAGGGGACCUCGAGUGCCAGGUUACAAAUCUGGCUGUCGUGAUGCCUAAAAAGCAUUGCAUAGCAAGGGCCGGGCAAGACCGGUGCCAGCCGCCGCGGUAACACCGGCGGCUCGAGUGGUAACCGUUAUUAUUGGGUCUAAAGGGUCUGUAGCCGGCCGGAUAAGUCUCUUGGGAAAUCUGGCAGCUUAACUGUCAGGCUUUCAGGAGAUACUGUCUGGCUCGAGGCCGGGAGAGGUGAGAGGUACUUCAGGGGUAGGGGUGAAAUCUUGUAAUCCUUGGGGGACCACCGGUAGCGAAGGCGUCUGACCAGACCAGCUCCGACGGUGAGGGACGAAGGCUAGGGGCGCGAACCGGAUUAGAUACCCGGGUAGUCCUAGCUGUAAACGAUGCGGGCUAGGUGUUGGCAUUACUGCGAGUGGUGCCAGUGCCGAAGGGAAGCCGUUAAGCUCGCCAUCUGGGGAGUACGGUCGCAAGGCUUAAACUUAAAGGAAUUGGCGGGGGAGCACCACAACGGGUGGAGCUUGC